GGCGUGGUGGCCAAGUGUUAAGGCAUUGGUCUAGUAAGUCAAAGAUCAUGGGUUCAGUCCCCAUCCAUGCCA